GGAUUUGCUGAAUACCAACGUUGACAGUGGUUUAUUUAAUGUUUUCUAUUAUUGACGUAAUGAUUUUUUUCUAUUUGCUUACAGAUAGUUCACUGUUUAAUUGGUGAGUUUUUGCUUUAAUUUUAUACUUUUAUUAUAAAUUGCCUUUAGGGCAAUAGUUGACUUGUUUUUCUUUUUAAGGAAUUGUACCUACUUCUGUGCUUGUGACUGGGGUCCAAGUGAGUUCAAGAAUCUUUAUGGUGUGGCUCAUUACUCACAGUAUAAAACCAAUCCAGAAUGAAGAGAGUGUGGUGCUUUUUCUGGUCGCGUGGACUGUGACAGAGAUCACUCGCUAUUCCUUCUACACAUUCAGCCUUCUUGACCACUUGCCAUACUUCAUUAAAUGGGCCAGAUAUAAUUUUUUUAUCAUCUUAUAUCCUGUUGGAGUUGCUGGUGAACUUCUUACAAUAUACGCUGCCUUGCCGUAUGUGAAGAAAACAGGAAUGUUUUCAAUAAGACUUCCUAACAAAUACAAUGUCUCUUUUGACUACUAUUAUUUUCUUCUUAUAACCAUGGCAUCAUAUAUA
rnacentral:sRNA from 1 species